rnacentral:rRNA from 1 species
AGUGAACGCUGGCGGUAGGCCUAACACAUGCAAGUCGAACGGCAGCACAGUAAGAGCUUGCUCUUACGGGUGGCGAGUGGCGGACGGGUAAGGAAUACAUCGGAAUCUACUUUUUCGUGGGGGAUAACGUAGGGAAACUUACGCUAAUACCGCAUACGACCUACGGGUGAAAGCAGGGGAUCUUCGGACCUUGCGCGAUUGAAUGAGCCGAUGUCGGAUUAGCUAGUUGGCGAGGUAAAGGCCCACCAAGGCGACGAUCCGUAGCUGGUCUGAGAGGAUGAUCAGCCACACUGGAACUGAGACACGGUCCAGACUCCUACGGGAGGCAGCAGUGGGGAAUAUUGGACAAUGGGCGCAAGCCUGAUCCAGCCAUACCGCGUGGGUGAAGAAGGCCUUCGGGUUGUAAAGCCCUUUUGUUGGGAAAGAAAAGCAGCAGGUUAAUACCCCGCUGUUCUGACGGUACCCAAAGAAUAAGCACCGGCUAACUUCGUG